rnacentral:rRNA from 1 species
GCGUAGAGAUGUGGAGGAACACCAGUGGCGAAGGCGGCUUUUUGGCCUGUAACUGACGCUGAGGCGCGAAAGCGUGGGGAGCAAACAGGAUUAGAUACCCUGGUAGUCCACGCCGUAAACGAUGAGUGCUAGGUGUUGGGGGGUUCCACCCUCAGUGCUGAAGUUAACACAUUAAGCACUCCGCCUGGGGAGUACGACCGCAAGGUUGAAACUCAAAGGAAUUGACGGGGGCCCGCACAAGCAGUGGAGCAUGUGGUUUAAUUCGAAGCAACGCGAAGAACCUUACCAGGUCUUGACAUCCUCUGACCACUCUAGAGAUAGAGCUUUCCCCUUCGGGGGACAGAGUGACAGGUGGUGCAUGGUUGUCGUCAGCUCGUGUCGUGAGAUGUUGGGUUAAGUCCCGCAACGAGCGCAACCCUUGACCUUAGUUGCCAGCAUUCAGUUGGGCACUCUAAGGUGACUGCCGGUGACAAACCGGAGGAAGGUGGGGACGACGUCAAAUCAUCAUGCCCCUUAUGACCUGGGCUACACACGUGCUACAAUGGGUGGUACAAAGGGUUGCGAAGCCGCGAGGCCAAGCCAAUCCCAAAAAGCCACUCUCAGUUCGGAUUGUAGGCUGCAACUCGCCUACAUGAAGCCGGAAUUGCUAGUAAUCGCGGAUCAGCAUGCCGCGGUGAAUACGUUCCCGGGCCUUGUACACACCGCCCGUCACACCACGAGAGUUUGUAACACCCGAAGUCGGUGGGGUAA